CGAGCCGAAAGGAGCCGAACAGAGCCCAGCCGAGCCGAAAGGAGCCGAGCGGGGCCCGAGCCCAAGUCGAGCCGAACCCGAGCGCAGUCCGAGCCCAACCCGCCCAUUCCCAUCCUCUGCCGCACAUAAAUGGUUUGGGUUCCCUUUUUUGUCAUUGCUUUUGUCGCCCUCUUUGAUUUGCUUGGUUUUGAGUUUGCUUUUCGCAGAAACACCCCCCGGACCCCACGGCUUCCCUCAGAGUGGCUGUACAGCUCCAUAGGAUGGACUUGAGGUACACAGAGUUUCUCCAGCUGUUAAGAGACUGCAGGGGAUAACGGGAACUCAAUAAACACACUUCAGGGUGCAGCCACAAGGUGACUUUAAUAGCUUUAAUUUAAAAAAAUACUCCACUUGUGAAAAAAGGCUAUUUCUCUUUUCGUUUUCCUCUGAGUAGAUCAGUGAAAAUACCUGUGUGCUGGCCUGGAAUGGAACAGGUGAACAUUUUUCUCAAGCACUAAUAACAGCACAUACAGUUUUGAAUUAAGUGCAAAAGUCAUACAUCGAAAAAUCUGCAGUACAAGGGUCUCACAGAGAAACACUUUACAGAGGUUUCUCGCCAAAAUUUCAAAAGUCAAAACUUUUCAAAGAGACUCUAAAGCUUCUUUCUAAAGAGGACUAGAGGCUCUGGGUCUUAAAAGCCAAUUUCAAGUUGUCAGCCUUCCCUAGAGUUUUACAUACUUUUUGAAGUAUUUGGCCUUUACCGGAACAGCUCAGAGCUUCAAUGGAAAUCUUCGUGCAGCAGAAGAGCUUGCCAGCAGGGAAAAUCCAUAAGGGAUGAGAGCAAGGUAGGGGAGGACACUGCAAACUGCAAAGAGGGUGUGGACAACUGGUAGCUCUAGAGAUCAGAGAUGAUUCAUACUCCAAAAAAUGUAUGGUAACUGUAUUUACCAGCUGCACUCUGCUCAAUGGAUGCUGAAACACUUAAUAAAAAAAUCCUGAAAAGGUUCAAAAAUCA